rnacentral:piRNA from 7 species
GCCCGGCUAGCUCAGUCGGUAGAGCAUGAGACU